AGUGAACGCUGGCGGUAGGCCUAACACAUGCAAGUCGAACGGCAGCACAGUAAGAGCUUGCUCUUACGGGUGGCGAGUGGCGGACGGGUGAGGAAUACAUCGGAAUCUACUUUUUCGUGGGGGAUAACGUAGGGAAACUUACGCUAAUACCGCAUACGACCUACGGGUGAAAGUAGGGGAUCUUCGGACCUUGCGCGAUUGAAUGAGCCGAUGUCGGAUUAGCCAGUUGGCGGGGUAAAGGCCCACCAAGGCGACGAUCCGUAGCUGGUCUGAGAGGAUGAUCAGCCACACUGGAACUGAGACACGGUCCAGACUCCUACGGGAGGCAGCAGUGGGGAAUAUUGGACAAUGGGCGCAAGCCUGAUCCAGCCAUACCGCGUGGGUGAAGAAGGCCUUCGGGUUGUAAAGCCCUUUUGUUGGGAAAGAAAAGCAGCAGGUUAAUACCCCGCUGUUCUGACGGUACCCAAAGAAUAAGCACCGGCUAACUUCGUG
rnacentral:rRNA from 1 species